rfam:Medicago truncatula strain A17 chromosome 4, whole genome shotgun sequence.
AUACCUUUCUCGGCCUUUUGGCUAAGAUCAAGUGUAGUAUCUGUUCUUAUCAGUUUAAUAUCUGAUAUGUGACUCAAUGGGUCACACGAUAUUAAAUUACUUUUUUAAGGGGGAGAAGCCAUUUCAAUAGCUUGCUAUUGGGUUUCUCGAGUGUCGUCUAUGCGUUGCACUAUUGCAUAGGCUGGCACACCCCAC